GCCACCGUCGCGCGUUUUGAACGGAAGACGAAAUUAAAUGAAACCAACCAUGUAAAGAAACUGAAUCGCUGUAAAAUGAAUCCUGUCCGCCUCGGUUUGACGAGAAAAAUACGUGAGUGGCAGAAUCAAGAGGUGGACAACACUGCACUGCGGCGAAAGAAACGGUUCAAAUUUCUAACAAAAUUUCAACACAAACUGCAGUCAUAUUUCAAAAAGUGUACGACAGCCACCACUGAGGCCGGGACCACCACUGACCACGCCACGGACACAAGUCGUG